rnacentral:rRNA from 1 species
CCUACGGGUGGCAGCAGUAGGGAAUCUUCCACAAUGGGCGCAAGCCUGAUGGAGCAACACCGCGUGAGUGAAGAAGGGUUUCGGCUCGUAAAGCUCUGUUGUUGGAGAAGAACGUGCGGGAGAGUAAGUGUUCACGCAGGGACGGUAUCCAACCAGAAAGGCACGGCUAACUACGGGCCAGCAGCCGCGGUAAUACGUAGGUGGCAAGCGUUAUCCGGCUUUAUUGGGCGUAAAGCGAGCGCAGGCGGUUGCUUAGGUCUGAGGUGAAAGCCUUCGGCGUAACCGAAGAAGUGCAUCGGAAACCCGGCGACUUGCGUGCAGCUGAGGCCAGUGGCACUCCCUGUGUAGCGGU